GCCGCCGCCGCGGGCGGGCCCGCGCCCCUCGCCGAGCGCAGCCGGAGCAGCCGAGGCCGGGACCGAGGACGCUGGGCGCGGAGGAGCCGCUGGGGACUCAGGCGCGCGGGCGGCUAGGGGCGCGGGCAGGCGGCGGCGACGCCGGGGGGCCGCUCAGCUCGCAUGCCCGGCCCGGCCGCCCUCGCCUCGCCUCGCUUCGCCCGGGGCUUGCCUCGCCUCUCCCCG
rnacentral:misc_RNA from 1 species